CAUAAUCCCCCAUCGUGCGAGAUGUCCCAAGAAAGUAGUAACUACCAUGUAAAAAGGGUGCGAUCUCUAGCCUAAACCUAGCACCGCCAUGCCACACCGCCGCCUCUGCCAAGAUCCUGCUCCUCCUCACCUCAGACUCGCUGUAGCAGGUCCACCCCCCUCGUCCGUCGGCAUCCAACAGUAGGCCCGGGGACGCUGGCCUCCAGGCGGCGGCCUAGCCCCACUCCGGCCGCCUCGACCUGCAGCUCCGGCACACGGUGCACUCCGGCUGAAAGGGAAGAUGAUGGGUGGCGGAGUGGGCAACAGAUCCGAAAUGGACAUCGCACCUUCUCCUACUGAGAUCGUAGUGACAUACGACCCGACAGGAAACAAUGGUAGAAGAUGCACAAGAUCGACGAGGAGGACAAAAGAGACAGGGGGGAUAUAUGCCCCUGUGACGACUCCCACCCGGCCCUCCAUUUGCUCGCCGGCAUCCUCUGUCUCUAAGAACCCGACGUCUUGCGACCAAAAAAUCCUCCAAGUGUCCUCCGCCAUGUGAAGCUCGUUUCCAUCAGGUAGGCUGACCUCGUGCUUGCCACUGUCGACCAGCAGCAAGGCGGCAAGUUCAUUUAUAUGUGAGUCGAUCUACUUUUUUAUUUUAGUUUUUCUAUCAAUUCGUUCCAAGUAAGAAUUGGAGCCGCUCCCAUGAUGCGUACUUAAGUGUGGAGGAGAAUCUUGACAUUGUAAUUUAGAUUAUCCUAUUAAGAUAGGACAACGCUGCUUUGCCGGGUUUUUUUUUUCUGAACUCUCAUCUGUUUACUGAUUAAACAUUUAGACUACUACAAUUUAAAGUAGAUCUUACACAUAGCUUUCUUCGUUGUUUGCUCCCAAAUUAUUGGCACUCAUGUAUGCAGGUUCUUGAUAAAAAGCCUCUGAGAAUAUCCUGAUAGAAUAAGAUGGUCAGUGUUCUUAACACAUUUUUCUUUUUCAUGCAGUUAAUAAUGCUCGUGUAUCAACUAUCAAAUCACCUUCACCUUCCUCCCCUCCCAUAACUAAAAUUAAGAGCUUUGCACCCACGUUCUAACAUUUCUUAGAAUUAACAUGGCUUCUACUCUAAACGGAGAGAUCAACUCAUACAUGCAGUUUCUCACCUGCAGAAACUUUUCUCAUGUUGUCUGAUAAAGAGCACCGUGGAUGGAUAUAUUAUCAUGUUUGAAAAACUUCUAUGUGCGGAUUUUGAAGGCAGUUGCCACAAGGAUGAACUAGAGAAGCAGAGAAAGCAAGGAGCCAUUGUUCCAUUAUCAGCAUGUAGAAACUAAAAAUCAUAUAGAUAUGUUUCACCUACUUUGUGACAUGUAAUUGUUCAUAGGUGAUGUGUACAAUUAAGUUUGUAAGC